GCAAGUCGAGCGGAAACGAAGAGGUGCUUGCACCUCUGGCGUCGAGCGGCGGACGGGUGAGUAAUGCUUGGGAAUAUGCCUUAUGGUGGGGGACAACAGUUGGAAACGACUGCUAAUACCGCAUGAUGUCUACGGACCAAAGUGGGGGACCUUCGGGCCUCACGCCAUAAGAUUAGCCCAAGUGGGAUUAGCUAGUUGGUGAGGUAAUGGCUCACCAAGGCGACGAUCCCUAGCUGGUUUAAGAGGAUGAUCAGCCACACUGGGACUGAGACACGGCCCAGACUCCUACGGGAGGCAGCAGUGGGGAAUAUUGCACAAUGGGCGCAAGCCUGAUGCAGCCAUGCCGCGUGUGUGAAGAAGGCCUUCGGGUUGUAAAGCACUUUCAGUAAGGAGGAAAGGUUAAGUGUUAAUAGCACUUAGCUGUGACGUUACUUACAGAAGAAGCACCGGCUAACUCCGUGCCAGCAGCCGCGGUAAUACGGAGGGUGCGAGCGUUAAUCGGAAUUACUGGGCGUAAAGCGUACGCAGGCGGUUUGUUAAGCGAGAUGUGAAAGC
rnacentral:rRNA from 1 species